UGAUGAAGCCCAUUGCCAGGUGUUUGUGA
rnacentral:piRNA from 1 species